ACUCCUACGGGAGGCAGCAGUGGGGAAUAUUGGACAAUGGGCGCAAGCCUGAUCCAGCAAUGCCGCGUGUGUGAAGAAGGCCUUCGGGUUGUAAAGCACUUUUGUUCGGGAAGAAAUCCGUGUGGUUAAUACCCGUACGGGAUGACGGUACCGAAAGAAUAAGCACCGGCUAACUUCGUGCCAGCAGCCGCGGUAAUACGAAGGGUGCAAGCGUUAAUCGGAAUUACUGGGCGUAAAGCGUGCGUAGGCGGUUUGUUAAGUCAGAUGUGAAAGCCCCGGGCUCAACCUGGGAACUGCAUUUGAUACUGGCAGGCUAGAGUACGGUAGAGGGUGGUGGAAUUCCCGGUGUAGCGGUGAAAUGCGUAGAGAUCGGGAGGAACAUCCGUGGCGAAGGCGGCCACCUGGACCAGUACUGACGCUGAGGCACGAAAGCGUGGGGAGCAAACAGGAUUAGAUACCCUGG
rnacentral:rRNA from 1 species